rnacentral:lncRNA from 1 species
ACCGAGGUCCCUAUUAAAGCCUUUCCUUAUACCAGAGCUGUGAAAUCAUGCUUGUUGCCUUCCUCAGUUCUGUUUCAAGUUGUACUGUAUCCUUUUGGAGACUGGGUGACCUGCCCUGCAUACACUAUCCCACAUAUUGGUGUAUUGCAGCUGUGUGCCAGGACACGGGCUCAGCACUCACUCAGCACGGAAAGCAUCUCUUCUUUUAUUUCCAUGCCGCAGCCCCAGGAGAAGCCCGUUUCCCAUGCCACAUCCAGCUGAGACUAACGUCAGGAUGCUGUGCCUGUGCCACAAUCUCAGAUGAGCAGCUCUCUCAGGGGGCUGCACAGAAUGAGGGAAAAUGAGAGAAUUUCUCUCAGCAAGAACUGUAGCCACAGUGCAAAGGCAGCCUCAUCCCCAGCUGAGAAGCCCUGGGUUUGAUGGUGGUGCUGAUGCCUUGAGGGAUCUCUCAUCGUUUCACCCGUGCUUUGUUUCAUCUUCCGCCAUCCAAGUGCAAGAGGUCAGGGGCUGUAUGUAUUUCCCCUUUUUAUUCUUAAUCAAAGCAAGUCCAGACCAAAUCCUACAUGGCUACAGAGAAUGACAAAAGAAAAGGGGGACAGAUUUAUUUUCAAAGUAAACACCCUCCCCCACAGUAAUUCAUUGAUGAUGGUUUCCUACAUAACAUCUUGAGCAUAUUCAUUUUUAUAACAUCUGGGGCCUAGGGCAUCGUGUGAAAAAAAAAUAAAAUUCUUUAUGCCUUUUUAUGCUUGCA